AUGAAAUCCCCCUUGGUUUCGAUCGACGAUGGUGAUUUCUGGUACAGCAGCGAUAAGUUCAAAUCGACAGAGACGGUGACACUCUCAGGGGAGUUGAUGAGAGGAUGCAAUAAGUGGUUUUGUAUUAAGGUUGUGUUGAAAACUUCUGAUGUCAUUUGGCGGGAGUUUGAGAAUGUUAUGACGAGAUCACGCCUCUGUGCCUUUCUUCUCAUUUGA